rnacentral:tRNA from 2 species
GGCGGCGUAGCUCAGUUGGUCAGAGCAUUCGGUUCAUACCCGAAGUGUCGUUGGUUCGAAUCCGACCGCCGCUACCA